rnacentral:rRNA from 1 species
AUUGAACGCUGGCGGCAGGCCUAACACAUGCAAGUCGAGCGGAUGAAGGGAGCUUGCUCCUGGAUUCAGCGGCGGACGGGUGAGUAAUGCCUAGGAAUCUGCCUGGUAGUGGGGGAUAACGUCCGGAAACGGGCGCUAAUACCGCAUACGUCCUGAGGGAGAAAGUGGGGGAUCUUCGGACCUCACGCUAUCAGAUGAGCCUAGGUCGGAUUAGCUAGUUGGUGGGGUAAAGGCCUACCAAGGCGACGAUCCGUAACUGGUCUGAGAGGAUGAUCAGUCACACUGGAACUGAGACACGGUCCAGACUCCUACGGGAGGCAGCAGUGGGGAAUAUUGGACAAUGGGCGAAAGCCUGAUCCAGCCAUGCCGCGUGUGUGAAGAAGGUCUUCGGAUUGUAAAGCACUUUAAGUUGGGAGGAAGGGCAGUAAGUUAAUACCUUGCUGGUUUGACGUUACCAACAGAAUAAGCACCGGCUAACCUCGUG